rnacentral:rRNA from 1 species
UUGACGGGGACCCGCACAAGCAGAGGAGCGCGUGGUUUAAUUCGACGGCAAUCGAAGAACCUUACCAGGGUUUGAAAUGUAUCUGCAUGCCCUAUGAAAAUAGGGAGGCCUUCGAGGGUGAUACACAGGUGCUGCAUGGCCGCCGUCAGCUCGUGUCGUGAGAUGUAGGGUUAAGUCCCGAAACGAGCGCAACCCCUACUCUAUGUUACAAGUGUCUUAGAAAACCGCCUCGGUAAAACGAGGAGGAAGGUGGGGAUGACGUCUGGUCCGCAUAGCCCUUAUGUCCUGGGCUACACACGCGCUACAAUGGCCGAUACAGUAGGAAGCCAAAUCGUAAGAUGGAGCUAAUCCUUAAAGUCGGUCUCAGUUCGGAUUGAGGUCUGAAAUUCGACCUCAUGAAGUUGGAUUUGCUAGUAAUCGUAGAUCAGCAAUGCUACGGUGAAUACGUUCUCGGGUCUU